AACUUUUGACAACGGAUCACUUGGUUCUGGCAUCGAUGAAGAACGCAGCGAAAUGCGAUAAGUAAUGUGAAUUGCAGAAACCAGUGAAUCAUCGAAUCUUUGAACGCACAUUGCGCCCUCUGGUAUUCCGGGGGGCAUGCCUGUUCGAGCGUCAUUACAACCCUCAAGCUCUGCUUGGUAUUGGGCCAUCGCCAUCCGGCGGGCCUCAAAAUCAGUGGCGGCGUCAUCCGACUCUAAGCGUAGUAAUUCUUCUCGCUCUGGAGCUUGGCUGGCUGCUUGCCAUCGAACCCCCAAUUUUUAAAGGUUGACCUCGGAUCAGGUAGGGAUACCCGCUGAACUUAAGCAUAUCAAUAAGCGGAGGCU
rnacentral:misc_RNA from 1 species